rnacentral:rRNA from 1 species
AAGGUUAAGCCUCACGGUUCAUUAGUACCGGUUAGCUCAACGCAUCGCUGCGCUUACACAUCCGGCCUAUCAACGUCGUCGUCUUCAACGUUCCUUCAGGACUCUCAAGGAGUCAGGGAGAACUCAUCUCGGGGCAAGUUUCGUGCUUAGAUGCUUUCAGCACUUAUCUCUUCCGCAUUUAGCUACCGGGCAGUGCCAUUGGCAUGACAACCCGAACACCAGUGAUGCGUCCACUCCGGUCCUCUCGUACUAGGAGCAGCCCCCCUCAGUUCUCCAGCGCCCACGGCAGAUAGGGACCGAACUGUCUCACGACGUUCUAAACCCAGCUCGCGUACCACUUUAAAUGGCGAACAGCCAUACCCUUGGGACCUACUUCAGCCCCAGGAUGUGAUGAGCCGACAUCGAGGUGCCAAACACCGCCGUCGAUAUGAACUCUUGGGCGGUAUCAGCCUGUUAUCCCCGGAGUACCUUUUAUCCGUUGAGCGAUGGCCCUUCCAUUCAGAACCACCGGAUCACUAUGACCUGCUUUCGCACCUGCUCGCGCCGUCACGCUCGCAGUCAAGCUGGCUUAUGCCAUUGCACUAACCUCCUGAUGUCCGACCAGGAUUAGCCAACCUUCGUGCUCCUCCGUUACUCUUUAGGAGGAGACCGCCCCAGUCAAACUACCCACCAGACACUGUCCGCAACCCGGAUUACGGGUCAACGUUAGAACAUCAAACAUUAAAGGGUGGUAUUUCAAGGUCGGCUCCAUGCAGACUGGCGUCCACACUUCCAAGCCUCCCACCUAUCCUACACAUCAAGGCUCAAUGUUCAGUGUCAAGCUAUAGUAAAGGUUCACGGGGUCUUUCCGUCUUGCCGCGGGUACACUGCAUCUUCACAGCGAGUUCAAUUUCACUGAGUCUCGGGUGGAGACAGCCUGGCCAUCAUUACGCCAUUCGUGCAGGUCGGAACUUACCCGACAAGGAAUUUCGCUACCUUAGGACCGUUAUAGUUACGGCCGCCGUUUACCGGGGCUUCGAUCAAGAGCUUCGCUUGCGCUGACCCCAUCAAUUAACCUUCCGGCACCGGGCAGGCGUCACACCGUAUACGUCCACUUUCGUGUUUGCACAGUGCUGUGUUUUUAAUAAACAGUUGCAGCCAGCUGGUAUCUUCGACUGAUUUCAGCUCCAUCCGCGAGGGACUUCACCUACAUAUCAGCGUGCCUUCUCCCGAAGUUACGGCACCAUUUUGCCUAGUUCCUUCACCCGAGUUCUCUCAAGCGCCUUGGUAUUCUCUACCUGACCACCUGUGUCGGUUUGGGGUACGAUUUGAUGUUACCUGAUGCUUAGAGGCUUUUCCUGGAAGCAGGGCAUUUGUUGCUUCAGCACCGUAGUGCCUCGUCAUCACGCCUCAGCCUUGAUUUUCCGGAUUUGCCUGGAAAACCAGCCUACACGCUUAAACCGGGACAACCGUCGCCCGGCCAACAUAGCCUUCUCCGUCCCCCCUUCGCAGUAACACCAAGUACAGGAAUAUUAACCUGUUUCCCAUCGACUACGCCUUUCGGCCUCGCCUUAGGGGUCGACUCACCCUGCCCCGAUUAACGUUGGACAGGAACCCUUGGUCUUCCAGCGAGCGGGCUUUUCACCCGCUUUAUCGUUACUUAUGUCAGCAUUCGCACUUCUGAUACCUCCAGCAUGCCUCACAGCACACCUUCACAGGCUUACAGAACGCUCCCCUACCCAACAACGCAUAAGCGUCGCUGCCGCAGCUUCGGUGCAUGGUUUAGCCCCGUUACAUCUUCCGCGCAGGCCGACUCGACCAGUGAGCUAUUACGCUUUCUUUAAAUGAUGGCUGCUUCUAAGCCAACAUCCUGGCUGUCUGGGCCUUCCCACAUCGUUUCCCACUUAACCAUGACUUUGGGACCUUAGCUGGCGGUCUGGGUUGUUUCCCUCUUCACGACGGACGUUAGCACCCGCCGUGUGUCUCCCGUGAUAACAUUCUCCGGUAUUCGCAGUUUGCAUCGGGUUGGUAAGUCGGGAUGACCCCCUUGCCGAAACAGUGCUCUACCCCCGGAGAUGAAUUCACGAGGCGCUACCUAAAUAGCUUUCGGGGAGAACCAGCUAUCUCCCGGUUUGAUUGGCCUUUCACCCCCAGCCACAAGUCAUCCGCUAAUUUUUCAACAUUAGUCGGUUCGGUCCUCCAGUUAGUGUUACCCAACCUUCAACCUGCCCAUGGCUAGAUCACCGGGUUUCGGGUCUAUACCCUGCAACUUAACGCCCAGUUAAGACUCGGUUUCCCUUCGGCUCCCCUAUUCGGUUAACCUUGCUACAGAAUAUAAGUCGCUGACCCAUUAUACAAAAGGUACGCAGUCACACAGAUUGAGCGAGCUCCCACUGCUUGUACGUACACGGUUUCAGGUUCUUUUUCACUCCCCUCGCCGGGGUUCUUUUCGCCUUUCCCUCACGGUACUGGUUCACUAUCGGUCAGUCAGGAGUAUUUAGCCUUGGAGGAUGGUCCCCCCAUAUUCAGACAGGAUACCACGUGUCCCGCCCUACUCAUCGAGCUCACAGCAUGUGCAUUUUUGUGUACGGGGCUGUCACCCUGUAUCGCGCGCCUUUCCAGACGCUUCCACUAACACACAUACUGAUUCAGGCUCUGGGCUGCUCCCCGUUCGCUCGCCGCUACUGGGGGAAUCUCGGUUGAUUUCUUUUCCUCGGGGUACUUAGAUGUUUCAGUUCCCCCGGUUAGCCUCAUUAACCUAUGGAUUCAGUUAAUGAUAGUGUGUCGAAACACACUGGGUUUCCCCAUUCGGAAAUCGCCGGUUAUAACGGUUCAUAUCACCUUACCGACGCUUAUCGCAGAUUAGCACGUCCUUCAUCGCCUCUGACUGCCAGGGCAUCCACCGUGUACGCUUAGUCGCUUAA